GAUGAACGCUAGCGGCAGGCUUAAUACAUGCAAGUCGAGGGGCAGCAGUUUUGUAGCAAUACAGAAGCUGGCGACCGGCAAACGGGUGCGGAACACGUACGCAACCUUCCUUUAACUGGAAGAUAGCCCACCGAAAGGUGGAUUAAUACUCCAUAAUAUAUUGAAGAGGCAUCUUUUUGAUAUUAAAGCUCCGGCGGUUAAAGAUGGGCGUGCGUCUGAUUAGGUAGUUGGCGGGGUAACGGCCCACCAAGCCUUCGAUCAGUAGCUGAUGUGAGAGCAUGAUCAGCCACACGGGCACUGAGACACGGGCCCGACUCCUACGGGAGGCAGCAGUAAGGAAUAUUGGUCAAUGGACGCAAGUCUGAACCAGCCAUGCCGCGUGGAGGAUGAAGGCCCUCUGGGUUGUAAACUUCUUUUCUUUGGGACGAAACCCCUGUUUCUACGGGGACUGACGGUACCAGAGGAAUAAGCACCGGCUAACUCCGUGCCAGCAGCCGCGGUAAUAC
rnacentral:rRNA from 1 species